CGUCGUGGCUAUACCCUGGAGGUCACACCCGUUCCCAUUCCGAACACGGCAGUUAAGCUCCAGAGGGCCGAUGAUACUUCCUGGCACACAGGUGGAAAAGUAGGUCGCCGCGACGU
rnacentral:rRNA from 1 species